ensembl:misc_RNA Metazoa_SRP Metazoan signal recognition particle RNA
GCUGGGCAUGGUGGCGCAUGCCUGUAAUCCCAGCUACUCAGGAGGCUGAGGCAGGAGAAUUGCUUGAACCCAGGAGGCAGAGGUUGCAGUGAGCUGAGAUCAUAGCAUUGCACUCCAGCCUGGGUGAAAGAGUAAGACUCCGCCUCAA